rnacentral:rRNA from 1 species
CGCGGGCCGCAUGGCCCGGGCGGGAAAGCCCUUACGGCAUGGGAUGGGGUCGCGGCCCAUUAGGUAGACGGCGGGGUGACGGCCCACCGUGCCCGCGAUGGGUAGCCGAGCUGAGAGGCUGACCGGCCACAUUGGGACUGAGAUACGGCCCAGACUCCUACGGGAGGCAGCAGUGGGGAAUUUUGCGCAAUGGGCGAAAGCCUGACGCAGCAACGCCGCGUGCGGGAUAGAGGCCUUCGGGUUGUAAACCGCUUC